UACGUAGGUGGCAAGCGUUGUCCGGAUUUACUGGGCGUAAAGAGCGCGCAGGCGGUCGUGCAAGUCGCGUGUGAAAGCCCCCGGCUCAACUGGGGAGGGUCACGCGAUACUGCUCGACUCGAAGGCAGGAGAGGGAAGUGGAAUUCCCGGUGUAGUGGUGAAAUGCGUAGAUAUCUGGAGGAACACCGGUGGCGAAGGCGGCAUCCUGGACCAAUAUUGACGCUGAGGAGCGAAAGCUAGGGGAGCAAACGGG
rnacentral:rRNA from 1 species